UGCUGCAAUGUUGAAAAUCAUUAUUUUGUGGCAAUAUUGUGUUUUGUAGCAGACGAAUUUUUCUUAAGUCUGAUGUUAAUUUUAAGUGGUGAACUGGUGAUUGAACUUGGACGUGUUCUUCGUGAUCGAUGUACUCUGCCCAUCAAGUACCCUUUGCCGGAAGUGAUUAUUAUCCUUCGUGAGCAGAGUCGUUGGAUGAAUUGAGGACUUGCAACGAUACAUUCUGAAAGAGUUAAAUGUCCGUCCUCUCAAGCUGACCACCGAGAAGAACACGUUUGGAGUUAGUGUUUACGUGCAUAGCUGGAUCAUCACACUGGGGCGUGAUUUGAAGGCCAAUUCAAGGCUGUCAUGGCUGCAAAUCCUGCAAUCAAGUCCCUGACAAUGAACAGCUCCAAGGAUUCUUAACCGAAGGUCAGAUCAAUGUUUUGGGAAAUGUUAUGGUUUCCAGAGGAUUUGCAGAUGUUUUACCAGUUCAAUUGUGACGGAGCUGCUGAAUAGGCCCACCAAUAUGAGACUCAAGCAGAAAAGACGUGUUGGUGUUGUUAAAUGUAGUCCAAGGUCAAAGCAUUAAGGACGAAGGUUUGGCCCGAGAUUAAUUUGGUCAAAAACAGCGCAGGGAAGCUCAUGUAAUUUCUUCUG